AUUGAACGCUGGCGGCAGGCCUAACACAUGCAAGUCGAGCGGGGUUUUCGGACCUAGCGGCGGACGGGUGAGUAAUGCGUAGGAAGCUGCCCGAUAGAGGGGGAUACCAGUUGGAAACGACUGUUAAUACCGCAUAAUGUCUACGGACCAAGGUGUGGGACCUUCGGGCCACAUGCUAUCGGAUGCGCCUACGUGGGAUUAGCUAGUUGGUGAGGUAAUGGCUCACCAAGGCGACGAUCUCUAGCUGGUUUGAGAGGAUGAUCAGCCACACUGGAACUGAGACACGGUCCAGACUCCUACGGGAGGCAGCCGUGGGGAAUAUUGGACAAUGGGCGCAAGCCUGAUCCAGCCAUGCCGCGUGUGUGAAGAAGGCCUUCGGGUUGUAAAGCACUUUCAGCGAGGAGGAAGGGGUUGUAGUUAAUAGCUGCAACCUUUGACGUUACUCGCAGAAGAAGCACCGGCUAACUCUGUGCCAGCCGCCGCAGUAACAC
rnacentral:rRNA from 1 species